CCUACGGGCGGCAGCAGUGAGGAAUAUUGGUCAAUGGUCGGGAGACUGAACCAGCCAAGCCGCGUGAGGGAUGAAGGUACAGAGUAUCGUAAACCUCUUUUGUCAGGGAACAAAGGCGGGGACGUGUCCCCGGAUGAGUGUACCUGAAGAAAAAGCAUCGGCUAACUCCGUGCCAGCAGCCGCGGUAAUACGGAGGAUGCGAGCGUUAUCCGGAUUUAUUGGGUUUAAAGGGUGCGCAGGCGGUCUGUUAAGUCAGCGGGCAAAGCCCGGGGCUCAACCCCGGCCCGCCGUUGAAACUGGCAGUCUCGAGUUGGAGAGAAGUAUGCGGAAUGCGCGGUGUAGCGGUGAAAUGCAUAGAUAUCGCGCAGAACUCCGAUUGCGAAGGCAGCAUGCCGGCUCCACACUGACGCUGAGGUACGAAAGCGUGGGUAUCGAACAGGAUUAGAUACCCUUGUAGUC
rnacentral:rRNA from 1 species